GGAGGGGUGGCCGAGUGGCUGAAGGCGGCAGAUUGCUAAUCUGUUAUACGGUUAACUCCGUAUCGUGAGUUCGAAUCUCAUCUCCUCCGCCA
rnacentral:tRNA from 1 species